GGCUUGGUGGUGGAUGGUCCACGCUCACCCCAUGUUUGAGAUCGUCAUACAUGCCGCGCGAGAGAUGCCUGUUCGAACCGGGCCUGAGCCG